AACGGUAACAGGUCUUCGGACGCUGACGAGUGGCGAACGGGUGAGUAAUACAUCGGAACGUGCCCAGUCGUGGGGGAUAACUACUCGAAAGAGUAGCUAAUACCGCAUACGAUCUGAGGAUGAAAGCGGGGGACCUUCGGGCCUCGCGCGAUUGGAGCGGCCGAUGGCAGAUUAGGUAGUUGGUGGGAUAAAAGCUUACCAAGCCGACGAUCUGUAGCUGGUCUGAGAGGACGACCAGCCACACUGGGACUGAGACACGGCCCAGACUCCUACGGGAGGCAGCAGUGGGGAAUUUUGGACAAUGGGCGAAAGCCUGAUCCAGCAAUGCCGCGUGCAGGAUGAAGGCCUUCGGGUUGUAAACUGCUUUUGUACGGAACGAAAAAGCUUCUCCUAAUACGAGAGGCCCAUGACGGUACCGUAAGAAUAAGCACCGGCUAACUACGUGCCAGCGGCCGCGGUAAUACGUAGGGUGCGAGCGUUAAUCGGAAUUACUGGGCGUAAAGCGUGCGCAGGCGGUUAUGUAAGACAGAUGUGAAAUCCCCGGGCUCAACCUGGGAACUGCAUUUGUGACUGCAUGGCUAGAGUACGGUAGAGGGGGAUGGAAUUCCGCGUGUAGCAGUGAAAUGCGUAGAUAUGCGGAGGAACACCGAUGGCGAAGGCAAUCCCCUGGACCUGUACUGACGCUCAUGCACGAAAGCGUG
rnacentral:rRNA from 1 species